rnacentral:rRNA from 1 species
GGCUCUCUGAAAAAGAAAGAUGGAGAGUCGGACCUGCCCAGUGAAAAUUUUUAACGGCCGCGGUACUCUGACCGUGCAAAGGUAGCAUAAUCAUUUGCCUUAUAAUUGAAGGCUUGUAUGAAUGGUUUGACAAGAAUAUAGCUGUCUCUAUGUAACUUUUUAGAAUUUUAUCUUGAAGUGAGGAAGCUUAAAUACUAUUAAUAGACAAGAAGACCCUAUCGAGCUUGAAAGGAGGUUGUAGAAGUGUAAAAUAGAGUUAAAAAAUUAGCUAUAUAAAAUUUUGGUUGGGGCGACUUAGGAACAAGAAAAGCUUCCUAAAAAUGUAAGUAAACAAUGAUCCAAAACGUUUUGAUUAAUGAAAUUAGUUACCGUAGGGAUAACAGCAUAAUCUUCUUUGAGAGCUCUAAUCGAAAAGAGGGUUUGUGACCUCGAUGUUGGACCAGAAUGUCCUGAAGAUGUAGCAGUCUUUAAGGGUUGGUCUGUUCGACCAUUAAAAUUCUACG